AAAUCAAAUAAUAGCGUUCCUAUUGGUCAGUGUUAGAGGAACUCCGCUUAGUCUGAUAGUUUCCCAGUAUAAACCAGGUCAGUUUCCCAG